rnacentral:tRNA from 1 species
CGGGGUGUAGCGCAGUUGGCUAGCGCACCGCGUUUGGGACGCGGGGGUCGGAGGUUCGAGUCCUCUCACCCCGACCA